rnacentral:rRNA from 1 species
UCAGAACGAACGCUGGCGGCGUGGCUAAGACAUGCAAGUCGAACGGACUAUGUAAUUGAGUAAUCGAGCACAUAGUUAGUGGCGAAAGGGUUAGUAAUGGCUAGGUAACGUACCCCAUGCUUCGGGAUAGCUAUUCGAAAGGAUAGGUAAUACCGGAUAAUAUCACAAUUCGAUAGUUUUGUGAUCAAAGAUUUAUCGGCAAGGGAGCGGCCUAGUUCCUAUCAGCUUGUUGGUGAGGUAAUGGCUCACCAAGGCUAUGACGGGUAGCGGGACUGAGAGGUUGGCCCGCAACAUCGGGACUGAGACACUGCCCGGACCUCCACGGAGGGCUGCAGUAACGAAUAUUGUGCAAUGGGCGAAAGCCUGACACAGCGACGCCGCGUGUAGGAGGAAGUCCCUCGGGAUGUAAACUACUGUCAGGGUAAAGAAAGUCUGUUUCGGCAGAUUGAUCUAACCCGGAGGAAGUCACGGCUAACUUCGUGCCAGCAGCCGCGGUAAGACGAAGGUGGCAAGCGUUGUUCGGUAUUACUGGGCUUAAAGCGUGUGUAGGCGGAUAAAUAAGCGUUUUGUGAAAUCCCUCGGCUUAACCGAGGAAUUGCUUGACGAACUGUUUAUCUUGAGGCAAGUAGGGGUGCACGGAACUCUUGGUGGAGCGGUGGAAUGCGUAGAUAUCAAGAGGAACGCCAGUGGUGAAGACGGUGCACUGGGCUUGUUCUGACGCUGAGACACGAAAGCGUGGGGAGCAAACAGGAUUAGAUACCCUGGUAGUCCACGCUGUAAACGAUG